rnacentral:tRNA from 1 species
GUGGGAGUACCGAAGCGGCCAAACGGGACAGAAUUACAAAAAAGUAAUGUCCAGACUCAAGAUCUGUUGGCUUAGUGCCUUCACAGGUUCGAAUCCUGUCUCCCACA